rnacentral:rRNA from 1 species
GAGCACGUAGGUGGGUUUGUAAGUCGGGUGUGAAAGCCCCUGGCUCAACCAGGGAACUGCAUUUGAUACUGUGAGGCUUGAGGACAGGAGGGGAGAGUGGAACUUCUGGUGGAGCGGUGAAAUGCGUAGAUAUCAGAAGGAACGCCGGCGGCGAAAGCGAUUCUCUGGCCUAUAACUGACACUGAGUGUGCGAAAGCUAGGGGAGCAAACGGGAUUAGACACCCCGGUGGUCCUAGCCGUAAACGAUGGGCACUAAGUAGAGGGGUUU